GGGUGAGUAACGCGUAAGCAAUCUGCCCCUAAGACGAGGAUAACAGUUGGAAACGACUGCUAAGACUGGAUAGGAGACAAGAAGGCAUCUUCUUGUUUUUAAAAGACCUAGCAAUAGGUAUGCUUAGGGAGGAGCUUGCGUCACAUUAGUUAGUUGGUGGGGUAAAGGCCUACCAAGACUAUGAUGUGUAGCCGGGCUGAGAGGUUGAACGGCCACAUUGGGACUGAGACACGGCCCAAACUCCUACGGGAGGCAGCAGUAGGGAAUUUUCGGCAAUGGAGGAAACUCUGACCGAGCAACGCCGCGUGAACGAUGAAGUAUUUCGGUACGUAAAGUUCUUUUAUUAGGGAAGAAUAAAUGAUGGAAAAAUCAUUCUGACGGUACCUAAUGAAUAAGCCCCGGCUAACUAUGUGCCAGCAGCCGCGGUAAUACAUAGGGGGCAAGCGUUAUCCGGAAUUAUUGGGCGUAAAGGGUGCGUAGGCGGUUAAAUAAGUUUAUGGUCUAAGUGCAAUGCUCAACAUUGUGAUGCUAUAAAAACUGUUUAGCUAGAGUAAGAUAGAGGCAAGUGGAAUUCCAUGUGUAGUGGUAAAAUGCGUAAAUAUAUGGAGGAACACCAGUAGCGAAGGCGGCUUGCUGGGUCUUUACUGACGCUGAGGCACGAAAGCGUGGGGAGCAAACAGGAUUAGAUACCCUGGUAGUCCACGCCGUAAACGAUGAGUACUAAACGUUGGGUAAAACCAGUGUUGAAGUUAACACAUUAAGUACUCCGCCUGAGUAGUACGUACGCAAGUAUGAAACUUAAAGGAAUUGACGGGACUCCGCACAAGCGGUGGAUCAUGUUGUUUAAUUCGAAGGUACCCGAAAAACCUCACCAGGUCUUGACAUGCUUCUGCAAAGCUGUAGAAACACAGUGGAGGUUAUCAGUUGCACAGGUGGUGCAUGGUUGUCGUCAGCUCGUGUCGUGAGAUGUUGGGUUAAGUCCCGCAACGAGCGCAACCCUUAUUGUUAGUUACCAGCACGUAAUGGUGGGGACUUUAGCAAGACUGCCAGUGAUAAAUUGGAGGAAGGUGGGGACGACGUCAAAUCAUCAUGCCCCUUAUGACCUGGGCUACAAACGUGAUACAAUGGCUGUUACAAAGGGUAGCUGAAGCGCAAGUUUUUGGCGAAUCUCAAAAAAACAGUCUCAGUUCGGAUUGAAGUCUGCAACUCGACUUCAUGAAGUUGGAAUCGCUAGUAAUCGCGAAUCAGCAUGUCGCGGUGAAUACGUUCUCGGGGUUUGUACACACCGCCCGUCAAACCACGAAAGUUGGCUAAUACCCAAAGCCGGUGGCCUAACUCGC
rnacentral:rRNA from 1 species